GCCGCGAGGCGACGGCGUUCUCGCCGGAUGUAGGAACCGACCCGGGGACCGCCGGGGCAACCCGGCGCCCCCGAGACGGGGCGAACCACGGUGAAAUGACGGAUCGUCGGCCCCGCGCCGGCGACUCGCCGAAUGAGUUUCUGACCUAUCAACUCGAGACGGCGGGGUAGAGGCCCGCCGCGGUAACGACGGGUAACGGGGAAUCAGGGUUCGAUUCCGGAGAGGGAGCCCGAGAAACGGCUACCACUUCCAAGGAAGGCAGCAGGCGCGCAACUUACCCUAAUCUCGAUUCGAGGAGGUAGUGACAAGAAAUACCGAUGCGGGACCCUACGGGUGCCGCGUUCGGAAUGAGUACGAUUCGAACCACCUAACGAGGAACGAUCGGAGGGCAAGUCUGGUGCCAGCAGCCGCGGUAAUUCCAGCUCCAAUAGCGUAC
rnacentral:rRNA from 1 species